ACACGUAUCCAACCUGCCGAUAACUCCGGAAUAGCCUUUCGAAAGAAAGAUUAAUACCGGAUGGCAUACGAAUAUCGCAUGAUAUUUUUAUUAAAGAAUUUCGGUUAUCGAUGGGGAUGCGUUCCAUUAGUUUGUUGGCGGGGUAACGGCCCACCAAGACUACGAUGGAUAGGGGUUCUGAGAGGAAGGUCCCCCACAUUGGAACUGAGACACGGUCCAAACUCCUACGGGAGGCAGCAGUGAGGAAUAUUGGUCAAUGGGCGAGAGCCUGAACCAGCCAAGUAGCGUGAAGGAUGAAGGUCCUACGGAUUGUAAACUUCUUUUAUACGGGAAUAAAGUAUCCUACGUGUAGGAUUUUGUAUGUACCGUAUGAAUAAGCAUCGGCUAACUCCGUGCCAGCAGCCGCGGUAAUACGGAGGAUGCGAGCGUUAUCCGGAUUUAUUGGGUUUAAAGGGUGCGUAGGUGGUGAUUUAAGUCAGCGGUGAAAGUUUGUGGCUCAACCAUAAAAUUGCAGUUGAUACUGGCGUCCUUGAGUGCGGUUGAGGUGUGCGGAAUUCGUGGUGUAGCGGUGAAAUGCUUAGAUAUCACGAAGAACUCCGAUUGCGAAGGCAGCACACUAAUCCGUAACUGACGUUCAUGCUCGAAAGUGUGGGUAUCAAACAGGAUUAGAU
rnacentral:rRNA from 1 species